UACGUAGGGUGCGAGCGUUAAUCGGAAUUACUGGGCGUAAAGCGUGCGCAGGCGGUUCUGCAAGUCAGAUGUGAAAUCCCCGGGCUUAACCUGGGAACUGCGUUUGAAACUACGGAGCUAGAGUGCGGCAGGAGGGGGGUGGAAUUCCACGUGUAGCGGUGAAAUGCGUAGAGAUGUGGAGGAACACCAAUGGCGAAGGCAGCCUCUGGGCCAACACUGACGCUCAUGCACGAAAGCGUGGGGAGCAAACAGG
rnacentral:rRNA from 1 species